AUCUAUUUCGAGCAAUAGAUAUGUAUAGCUGUCCCGCUGCGCUAAAAAUCAAGGACACGAUAAACGAGGUGCCGUAGACCGGACAACCGUGAUAAUUGUGAUUGCUGCCUGUGUGCUUGUGUUCCUCGCUUUAUACGCCGUUAGUUGCGUCUUCUGGAGAUUCAGGACGCCACAGGACAAGUUGAGGGAGUGCCUUCUCAUGCUAAUCCAAAACAAAUAGACAUUGAGGACCCUGAUCCUAAACAUUGUGCGAGCUCAAGAUCACGCAGUCCUGAAAUAAUUAGAAACUUUGUGGCCUCCAAAAGAAACGAAAAAAUUACAAAUAAAACAAAAGACACCAUUUCAGGGGAAAAGCUUUCAAAAGGAACAGAAUCUAAAGAAAUUGCCAGGGAGUCAUUGGAAUUAUCAGAUAUAAAGACAACAACGGCUCGAUAUUCGACAAGAAAACGUUAUACUCUGGACGAGUUAUAUCGACCUAAUCGUUGCUUUGAUCGAGGAUUUUGGCAAGAAGUGGAGUUGGAAACCUAAUUUAAAUUAUUUAACAUGCCAAUUAAUUGUUCAUGUUGCAUGUUAAUUACCGCUUGCUGCAUGCUUAAGACUCCUUCUACUAAUCCUCAUUUGCAAAACUCAAGAAGAUAAAAGCCGUAUUAACCCCACCCUGGUAUUACACUGAUAUAACCCUUUGAGAUUGCAUGUGAGAGAGAACAGAACUUCCGGGGUCACCUGAAAGUAUUUGAACCAGUGAUUUGAUAGCAGCUCGGAAAGGCCUACGAGUUCCUUUUUUCUUUUUACAUUUUAAGAUAGCACUCUCAGCAUGGUAACCUGGUGUAUCAACGUAGCGAUUAUGCUUUAAAAGAAAAAGUUUUUCUUUUUCUUACAUCAGUAAAAUUAAAUUCAACUUUUUCGCGGUAGAAUAACAAAUUAACUUGAAAAAGGAGCGGCAUUGGUACCCUCUGUGCCGGAAAUUGAGUCAAAACAACACGUCGGGUGAAUAAAAUUAACGUGUUUACAAAUGAGUUGAGCAAAACUGUGACUGAUAACAAGUAGAAGAGAUUUUACAUAUGAAAGAACCUCAAUAUCCAGGAGAUAUGAAACCGGCCAACCAAUUCCUCUCAAUGGCGAG